AUGGGAGACCUUCCCGAUCUCGACCGCGCUCAGGCUGCCGGCGUGGGCCGGCGGGACAGGCUCGCGGCGCUGCUCGAGCUCGCCGCGGCGGACGACGUUGAUGGGAUGAGGGCGGCGCUCGAGGGAGCUGGCGAGGAGGCGGCGGAGCUGGCCGAUGACGUCGGGCUCUGGUAUGGCCGGAGCAAGGCGUACGAGCCGCGCACGCCGCUCAUGGUGGCGGCCACGUACGGCAGCGCGCGAGUCGUCUCGCUGCUGCUCGGCCGCGCCGGCUGGGUCGAUGUAGCUCGUCGGCCUGGCGGCGACGGCUUCACCCCGCUCCACUGUGCCGCCUCCGGCGGCUCCUGCAACGCCGUCCAGGUCGUCAAGAUGCUGCUGGACGCUGGCGCGGACCCAGCUACUGCCGACUCCACCGGCCGCCUCCCGGCUGACGUCGUCCGGGCUCCUCCGGCUUCGGCAGACGCCCUGGGCGAUCUCGAGAUACUUCUUGGACGCCGCCGGGCCCUCGCCGUCGCUACCUCGGCGGCCUCUGGCGCGUCGUCCCCGCCGCUUUCGUCCUCGCCAGACGACGAGGGCAACAGGUCGCCGUCGUCGCGCUCGUCGUCGCUGUCUCCCAUCACCGUGGAUCGCGCCAAGAAGGAGUACCCGGUGGAUCCGACGCUGCCGGACAUCAAGAGCAGCGUCUAUGCCUCGGACGAGUUCCGCAUGUUUGCCUUCAAGGUGCGUCCGUGCUCCCGUGCUUACUCGCAUGACUGGACCGAGUGCCCCUUCGUGCACCCCGGCGAAAACGCGCGCCGCCGUGACCCCCGCAAGCACCCGUACACUGCGGUGCCUUGCCCCAACUUCCGGCGCCCUGGUGGCUGCCCCAGUGGCGACAACUGUGAGUUCUCCCAUGGCGUGUUCGAGAGCUGGCUGCACCCCACACAGUACCGCACCAGGCUCUGCAAGGAGGGAGCUGCUUGCGCCCGCCGCAUCUGCUUCUUCGCGCACGAUGAAGAUGAGCUCCGCCAUGUCCCUCACAACAGUGGGGCUGGUCUGCUAUCACCCCGUGCAACUUCAUCAAUUGACAUGACUGCCGCUGCUGCACUUGGGCUUCUUCCUGGAUCUCCUAGGCACUUUGUGCCGCCUCCGGGAUCACCAUCUGCCGUGAACAAUGGCGGAGCUGCUUCUGCGCAUUGGCUUCAAGGUAGCAGGCUGCGUUCUUCUUUCAAUGCAAGAGAUGCGUCAGUUGAAGACCUUGGCUUGCUCCUCGACUGGGAGUCACAGUACCUUGGGGCACUCUGCCUCCCUCCCAGCAGCCGUCCCCAGCCCCGUCUUUCUACCGGCCUUAGCAUCAGGCCUACAGCAAUUGCCCCCACCAGUCUUGAAGAUAUGUAUGCUUCAGAGAUGGCAAUGUCACCGAGGUUCACCAAUGAUCAAGGUCACUCAGCCUACUCACCAGCCCACAAAUCAGCCAUCCUUAACAAGCUUCAUCAGCAGAAGGGUCUCCUCUCGCCUGUCAACACCAACAGAAUGUACUCACCAAGGGCUCUUGAUCCGGCAGCGCUCGUCCAUUCUCCAAUUGGCGGCAUGUCUCCUAGAUCCCCUCGGCUCAUGGAGCCAACAUCGCCCAUGAGUGCCCGUUUCGGAGCCACUGUCACGCAGCGUGAGAUGUAUGAGCAGUUCUCUUCCCUGAACAAGCACCAGCUGCCCUCCGUGGGCUCGCCACGGAAUUCUAAUGCUGCUUCAUGGGGCAACGUGGGUUCUUCCCCAAUGGGUAAGGUUGACUGGGGUGUUGAUGGUGAGGAGCUGGAUCGGUUGAGAUGCCCUGAUCAACCAGGGUUUGCAGAGAAGGAGCCAGAUGCGCCAUGGGGGCGGUCACUGAACAGCAACAGGGGUGAAAUGCCGCUGGGCAUGUCGGGAGGCAUGGCUUCUGGAUCGGCAAACAGGCCUGACUGGAACAACCAGGCUGAUUUAUUGGAUCAGAUGGCCAUUGGUGCUUGGCUUGAGCAGCUGCAGACGGAUCAGAAGUGA
rnacentral:rRNA from 1 species